rnacentral:rRNA from 1 species
CCUACGGGUGGCUGCAGUGGGGAAUAUUGGACAAUGGGGGCAACCCUGAUCCAGCCAUGCCGCGUGUGUGAAGAAGGCCCUCGGGUUGUAAAGCACUUUCAGUGAGGAAGAACGCCUGGUGGUUAAUACCCAUCAGGAAAGACAUCACUCACAGAAGAAGCACCGGCUAACUCCGUGCCAGCAGCCGCGGUAAUACGGAGGGUGCGAGCGUUAAUCGGAAUUACUGGGCGUAAAGCGCGCGUAGGUGGCUUGAUAAGCCGGUUGUGAAAGCCCCGGGCUCAACCUGGGAACGGCAUCCGGAACUGUCAAGCUAGAGUGCAGGAGAGGAAGGUAGAAUUCCCGGUGUAGCGGUGAAAUGCGUAGAGCUCGGGAGGAAUACCAGUGGCGAAGGCGGCCUUCUGGAUUGAAAAUGAAACUGAGGUGCGAAAGCGUGGGUAGCAAGCAGGAGUAGAUACCCUAGUAGUC